UAGUGCUAGAAGUUCUAUUGUGGGUGUUUGAUGCAAUUUGUUUUAUACUUAAGUUGUAUGUUACAUAUAUUCACUUUCUGUAUCAAAUGUGCUGAAAAAUAUAGUAGGGAGAGAACCCUUGCAUGAAAACAAGUUCCAAGGGGGAAUCCCCGGGUGGCUCAGCGGUUUAGCGCCUGCCUUCCUCCCAGGGUGUGUGGUCCUGGGGACCAGGAAUCGAGUCCCACGUCGGGCUCCCUGCAUGGACCCUGCUUCUCCCUCUGCCUGUGUCUCUGCCUCUAUUUCUCUCUCUGUCUUAAAAAAAUCUUAAAAAAAAAAAAAAAAAGUUCCAAGCAUCAUCUACUUUGUCAUAAAGGAAAUCUUAUAAAGGAGAAUUCCAAAUCUUACAGUGUUUCUAUAGACAGAAUUUCUUUCAAAGAGCUGGAGAAAAAAGACUGACAGGCCAUUAAAAAGGCCUGUGAAUUUAGAAAAUUCAAGAUUUGGGCUACAAUUAAGUCAGCAACCCACCUUCUCCAGCUCUUGGUGAACUUUCUGUCUACUCAGCUUUUCACUAUCUUUGUGACAGUGUGUUUGAGGAGAUACACACACGAGUAGGCUUGCCUUUUCUGAUGUUGUCACCAUAUCAGCCUCUUGGGAGGCUUCACGAGUAAAGCAGAUGUGUGGUAUUAAAAUCAACAACAACAACAACAACCCACAAUUAAAAUGCACAAGGAAAAUUUUUGUCCAGAUUUGAAUAAGGAUAAAAAAUUUCUAUCAACUCCUGCAGAGUUGAACAUAAAUGUAAGUAUUCCUAGGGGGCAAUGAAGAGGACUGCUUCAGCUUAACUUGAGUUUAUUGAGGGCCUUUUCAGUGCAAAGAACAAGGCUAGGACCUGGGCACGGUAGACAAGAUGGAUCAAGACCCCGCCCCCUGCAGACUUGUCAGGUGUGCCAGAAUUCCUACUGAAGGAAGAAUAAAACAAGUGCCUCAACCAAAGGUCUGCAUCUACAUCGAAAAUAAGCAACUCUUGGGACACCUGUGGCUCAGCUGUUAAGCAUCUGUCUUGGACUCACAGCAUGAUCCUGGAGUUCUGGGAUAGAGUCCCACACUGGGCUCCUGCAGGGAGCCUGCUUCUCCCUCUGCCUCUGUCUCUGCCUCUCUCUCUCUCUCUCUGUCUCCAUAAAUAAAAAAAUAAAUAAAGCAAUUCUUUUUGAUGGAGAAAUUAUGAAAACCUAUAAGGGAAUGCUAGAAUUCCAAGGAUAUUAAUUUUGGGAAGACCUUCACAUUUCAAGGCACAAGGGCAGAGGCUUAGUCCAGGGCCUGCUGCCACCACUGAGAGUAGCAGAGGGGUUGUAACCUGUGUUUAUUGACAUGCUAUGAUGUCUGUGCUUGUGUCGCUUAAUAAACAAACAAGUUACAUUUGGGGGGUCUAAUUUAUGAAAAGCAGGAGUUCCCAUACCUAUCAUCUCCAACAUUCCCAAGUCAAAUGUUUCUAGUGCCCCUUUUCCAGACCACUAAGAAGUUACAUUUUUAAACACUCAUUAAUACUUAAAUGCAUACAAAAUUUUUUUAUAGUCAGUAAACACCAUAACUGUUGUGUAAACACAAAAUAAGAGAUAAUUGGGCAGCCUGAGUGGCUCAGGGGUUUAGUGCAGCCUUCAGCCCAGGGCGUGUUCCUGGAGACCCAGGAUCGAGUCCCACGUCAGGCUACCUGCAUGGAGCCUACUUCUCCCUCUGCCUGUGUCUCUGCCUCUGUGUGUGUCUGUGUGUGUGUGUGUGUGUCUCAUGAAUAAAUAAACUAAAAAAUAAAUAAAUAAGAGACAAUUGUUCUAACAAUAAAGGAGAUAAUUUCAACAUAUACAUUCUUGGGUCCUACACUCAAAAACAUAAAUUAGAAGUUGGGUAUUUGCCUGUAUUAGUGAGAAAUAAAACCAAUAGGGUAGAUGUGCAUAUAUAUAUAUUGAGAGAUUUCUUAUAAGGAACCAGUUCAUGUGAUUAGGAGACUGACAAGGCCAAGAUCUAUAGGGUGAGUUGGCAAAUGAGAGAUCUUGGCAAAUGAAAGAUCCAGGGCAGCCAAUGGCAUAGUUUCUGUCUGGAUGCCAGCAGCUUUGAGACCCAGGCAGGCUCAUGUCUCAGUCUAAAUUCAAAGGCAGGAAAAAGCCAACAUCUCAGUUCAAAAUCAGCCAGACAUGAGUAGUUCUUAUUAGGGGGAAAGACAGCCUUUUCAUUUCAUUCCUGAUUUCAACUGAUAGAAUAAGGCCCACCCACAUUCGGGGCAAAAAUCUGCUUUACAAUUAAGUCUACCAAUUUAAAUGUUUUGAUGUCAUCCAACCCCCACCCCCACCCCCCCUUUACAGAAACACCCAGAAUGAUGUUUGACUAAGUAUCUGGGUAACCCAGGCCUGGUCAAGUUGAUGCACAAAAUCAGUCAUUACAGAACCUACAUAUAGAAUCAUCCUGAAAGCAACAAGGAUUGACUCAGAUGAUCAGACACCAUUAAUAGACUUACUCUCAAUGAUGUGACUUUCUUUUCUUUUUUCAGAAAAUGCCAAUAAUUCUUGGGGGACAUAUGAAAAGAGCAAACUACAACCUCAAUUUAUAAAAUGCAUUCUGGGAAACCUCAGUGCCUAUUGAACUACACACAAACACACACAUGCUUCUUUUUAAAGGAGUCAGGUUCUAGGAUUGAUUAACAGGUUCUUUUGCCUUCAGAUUUACUGAGACACUUGAACCAGUUCUUUGUGGGACAUCUAGCAUCCCUGGUCUUUUCCUAAAUGUCAGCAAUGCACCUUCCCCCAGCACUGGGACAGCCUAGAAACAGGUUGCCUGUUUUCUAGAAUGUUCUCUAAGGGCCACUAUUGUUCUGUGACAAUGCAGACACUGAUCAUUUUCAUUACAGAAGCUACAUAAUGGAAAUGUUAAAGGUGAGAGCAGCUGGAAGGCAUCCAAGAAUGCUGGAAUGUGCUCAGAAAUAGUCUGCAAUGCUGAUGUGUCCAUUGCAGAAGAAAAGACCUAGCAAGGUAUCAGCCCUGGUGCCAUCAGCCUGCGUGACAGACGCAGGACAGAUUCAGGACAGCCACAGGCUAGCGCACCUGGCCACACCUGAAGCUCGCCGCAGACUCUGCUACACAGACAUAGGUUUUAUGUUUGUUACUGAACUCCUGGUGUGCCCAAAGCCAGGCUGACUUAAGGCCGCCUAUAUACUGAAUGAGGGCUUUAUGUGACCCUUGUGUCAGUGAAUGCCAAAUAUUUACCAUCUCAUAUGUUAUUUAGUGCCUCCAGAAGAUCUCUGGACUCUUUCAUCUCUACGAUCUCUAUUUAACAACAUAUGCUCUAUUUACUAUGUAUCUAUACUUGAAAUAUCUUAUAGGUUUUAGACUUGAUCUUACUAACUAAAAACAUAUUUGUCUUUUAUAAUAAAAUUGUUAAUCUACAAAAGUAAAUAUGUGUAUAGUCCAUGGCAUUUGUGGGUCUAUCCCUGGCAAAGAACAAUAAAUUU